rnacentral:siRNA from 1 species
UACGCUAAACCGAUCCAAACCAA